rnacentral:rRNA from 1 species
AUGGCUCAGGAUGAACGCUAGCGGCAGGCUUAACACAUGCAAGUCGAGGGGCAGCGGGGAGGAAGCUUGCUUUCUCCGCCGGCGACCGGCGCACGGGUGAGUAACACGUAUGCAACCUGCCCCUGUCAGGGGGACAACCCGCCGAAAGGCGGGCUAAACCCGCGUACAUGCCACCGGGGCAUCCCGGAGGCAGGAAAGGCUUCGGCCGGACAGGGAUGGGCAUGCGGCGCAUUAGGCAGUAGGCGGGGUAACGGCCCACCUAACCGACGAUGCGUAGGGGUUCUGAGAGGAAGGUCCCCCACACUGGUACUGAGACACGGACCAGACUCCUACGGGAGGCAGCAGUGAGGAAUAUUGGUCAAUGGUCGGGAGACUGAACCAGCCAAGCCGCGUGAGGGAUGAAGGUACAGAGUAUCGUAAACCUCUUUUGUCAGGGAACAAAGGCGGGGACGUGUCCCCGGAUGAGUGUACCUGAAGAAAAAGCAUCGGCUAACUCCGUGCCAGCAGCCGCGGUAAUACGGAGGAUGCGAGCGUUAUCCGGAUUUAUUGGGUUUAAAGGGUGCGCAGGCGGUCUGUUAAGUCAGCGGUCAAAGCCCGGGGCUCAACCCCGGCCCGCCGUUGAAACUGGCAGUCUCGAGUUGGAGAGAAGUAUGCGGAAUGCGCGGUGUAGCGGUGAAAUGCAUAGAUAUCGCGCAGAACUCCGAUUGCGAAGGCAGCAUGCCGGCUCCACACUGACGCUGAGGCACGAAAGCGUGGGUAUCGAACAGGAUUAGAUACCCUGGUAGUCCACGCAGUAAACGAUGAAUGCUGGCUGUCCGGGGGGACUGACCCCUGGGUGGCGAAGCGAAAGCGAUAAGCAUUCCACCUGGGGAGUACGCCGGCAACGGUGAAACUCAAAGGAAUUGACGGGGGCCCGCACAAGCGGAGGAACAUGUGGUUUAAUUCGAUGAUACGCGAGGAACCUUACCCGGGCUCAAACGGGGAGUGACUCAGGCAGAGACGCCUGUUUCCCACGGGACACUCCCCGAGGUGCUGCAUGGUUGUCGUCAGCUCGUGCCGUGAGGUGUCGGCUUAAGUGCCAUAACGAGCGCAACCUCCGCGUGCAGUUGCUAACAGUCAACGCUGAGGACUCUGCACGGACUGCCGGCGCAAGCCGCGAGGAAGGCGGGGAUGACGUCAAAUCAGCACGGCCCUUACGUCCGGGGCGACACACGUGUUACAAUGGGUGGUACAGCGGGAAGCCAGGCGGCGACGCCGAGCGGAACCCGAAAUCCACUCUCAGUUCGGAUCGGAGUCUGCAACCCGACUCCGUGAAGCUGGAUUCGCUAGUAAUCGCGCAUCAGCCAUGGCGCGGUGAAUACGUUCCCGGGUCUUGUACACACCGCCCGUCAAGCCAUGGGAGCCGAGGGCGCUUGAAGUGCGUCGCCGCGAGGCGCGCCCUAGAGCGAAAUCGGUGACUGGGA